rnacentral:rRNA from 1 species
AAACAUGUCUUUUUGAAAAUAAUUUAAAGUUUAAUUUGCCCACUGAUNAAAUUAUUAAAGGGCUGCAGUAUUUUGACUGUACAAAGGUAGCAUAAUCAUUAGUCUCUUAAUUGGUGACUUGUAUGAAAGAUUGGAUGAGAUAUAUACUGUCUCUAUUUAAUUUAUAAAAUUUAAUUUUUUAGUAAAAAAGCUAAAAUUAUUUUAAAAGACGAGAAGACCCUAUAGAGUUUUAUAAUUUAUUUAAUUAUUAUUAAUAUGUAAAUUUUAAAAUUAAAAUUAAAUAAAUUAUUUUGUUGGGGUGAUAGAAAAAUUAAAUUAACUUUUUUUUUAUUGUAUACAUUAAUUUAUGGAUAAAUGAUCCAUUAAUAGUGAUUAAAAGAAAAAAUUACCUUAGGGAUAACAGCGUAAUUUUUUUUUUUAGUUCAAAUAGGAAAAAAAGUUUGCGACCUCGAUGUUGGAUUAAGAUAAAAUUUAAAUGCAAAAGUUUAAAAUUUUGAUCUGUUCGAUCAUUAAAA